rnacentral:rRNA from 1 species
UCCGGAUCCGUUCGACAGAGUUUGAUCGUGGCUCAGAUUGAACGCUGGCGGCAGGCCUAACACAUGCAAGUCGAGCGGUAGCACAGAGAGCUUGCUCUCGGGUGACGAGCGGCGGACGGGUGAGUAAUGUCUGGGAAACUGCCUGAUGGAGGGGGAUAACUACUGGAAACGGUAGCUAAUACCGCAUAACGUCGCAAGACCAAAGUGGGGGACCUUCGGGCCUCAUGCCAUCAGAUGUGCCCAGAUGGGAUUAGCUAGUAGGUGGGGUAACGGCUCACCUAGGCGACGAUCCCUAGCUGGUCUGAGAGGAUGACCAGCCACACUGGAACUGAGACACGGUCCAGACUCCUACGGGAGGCAGCAGUGGGGAAUAUUGCACAAUGGGCGCAAGCCUGAUGCAGCCAUGCCGCGUGUAUGAAGAAGGCCUUCGGGUUGUAAAGUACUUUCAGCGGGGAGGAAGGCGAUAAGGUUAAUAACCUNGUCAGAUUGACGUUACCCGCAGAAGAAGC